GUGCCUUCGGGAACUGUGAGACAGGUGCUGCAUGGCUGUCGUCAGCUCGUGUUGUGAAAUGUUGGGUUAAGUCCCGCAACGAGCGCAACCCUUAUCCUUUGUUGCCAGCGAUUAGGUCGGGAACUCAAAGGAGACUGCCAGUGAUAAACUGGAGGAAGGUGGGGAUGACGUCAAGUCAUCAUGGCCCUUACGACCAGGGCUACACACGUGCUACAAUGGCGCAUACAAAGAGAAGCGACCUCGCGAGAGCAAGCGGAGCUCAUAAAGUGCGUCGUAGUCCGGAUUGGAGUCUGCAACUCGACUCCAUGAAGUCGGAAUCGCUAGUAAUCGUGGAUCAGAAUGCCACGGUGAAUACGUUCCCGGGCCUUGUACACACCGCCCGUCACACCAUGGGAGUGGGUUGCAAAAGAAGUAGGUAGCUUAACCUUCGGGAGGGCGCUUACCACUUUGUGAUUCAUGACUGGGGUGAAGUCGUAACAAGGUAACCGUAGGGGAACCUGCGGUUGGAUCACCUCCUUA
rnacentral:rRNA from 1 species